UAUACAUCCGUGUGAAUAGGAGGAAAUAAAUACACGUGAAGAAAUACCAGAAGGACCAAAAAAUGGGGCCCAACAUUGGCAAUUUCUUGUUUGGGUCUUGGGGUGGGUGAAGCAUUGGCACUUGGACCUGACCAACCAUGGAAGCAUCUCAUCUCGAUCUGAGAGGAGGGAAGAAAUGCAACCUCUGGAGCAUGCCCAGGCUCUGGGCCCUGGGAACUUGGCAGGCUGCUGGAGAGGUCAGAAAGAGCCUGGGGCAGAAAGCUUCACUCUGAGAUGCGAGUGAAUGUGGAUGAGGAAUUCUAGAUGAGGAGCAUUUGAUACUGAUUGAAGAUGCCAGAAUGACACCUCUCCUCCAGAGGAUGCUUUGCACAGCUGCAGGGUGAAUUUCUUCCCAUGUUUUCUUGGAAUCAUUUGAACUCAUGAAAAAGAGAUGUACUCACUGCUGGGCCAGCUCCCAGCUGUCUGAACCAACAGAUCUCUGCUCAGAAGGACAUCCCACCAGUGAUGCAGAGUAUUGAUCCAGAAAGCAGAGUGCGAACGAUCUGAC
rnacentral:lncRNA from 1 species